rnacentral:rRNA from 1 species
CGAAACCUGCCCAGCAGAACGACCCGCGAACACGUGAUGCCCCGGUUCAUGGGGGCAAGGGGCCACCCCUUCCCCCUCCGGACGGGAGGCGCACCGAGAGGAUCGCCCCCGCCCGAUAAAAAACGAACCCCCGGCGCGAUCCGCGCCAAGGAAAACCGAAAACGGAUCGAGCGCCCGGAAGGACGCUCCCCGACCUCUUAA